AUGCCUUGUCCAAAGGGAAUAUCUGGUCGUGGUCUCCCCAGACGAGCAAAACAUCCUGCCAUUCAUAAGAUCGAACGCAAAGUUAACAGAAUAUUUUGUUGCACUACUGUAUUUCAGAAACAGAAUACAGUGUGGCUGCGUCGAAUUUGCCCUUCAUUCUGUUCAGAUUUUUACCUGCUCCAAGGGCGUAAGUUGGAACUCAUCAGUCCCUACAGUUAUGGCCUUCAUCAGCUCGAUCUUCUCCUCCCUCUUAUCACUGAAAAGUCUCUGCGAAUUGACAAGAUCACUGCUCAGUACUGUACUGGCAUUUAUCGAUCAAUUAUUAGGGUGGUGCAGCGGCAACAAUGGACGGGCCACCUGCACGGCCUCUCUGAUCAGGAAGUCCGGCAGCAUGGAGGUGACCUGCCUCCGGUAGAACGACAGCUCCAUGAGCCGCCGCGCCGUGCGCGCGUCCAGCGGCAUGAGCAAGUCGGCCGCGCUCGCCCACUCGCCGCCGGCGCGCUGGAGGAACGCCCGGUCGUCCUCGGCCGUCUUGAGCAGGUCCGAGUUGGAUAUCACCACGGGGCCGACCCUCGCGGGCCCCGCCGCGCGCGCCAGGGAGUAGGCCACGAACCCGCCGUAGCUCGUGCCGGCCACGGCGACGCGCGCCGUCGCCGGGAGACCCGGGAGCGCGUCGAGCAGCGCGGCCAGCGCGGCGGCCUGCGCCGACUCGGAGGGCGCCGGGGAGGAGGGGCAGGGGGCGGAGACGCCGAAGCAGAGCAGGUCCGGGACGACGACGUGGAAGCGGCGGGAGAAGGCGCCCACCUGGCGGCGCCACUGCCAGGUCGCCAUGGGCCCGAAGCCGUGGAUGAGGAGGAGCGGCGGCAGGCGCGGCUCCCCCGCCGGCGCCGGAGCCCAGUAGUGGAUCGUUUGGGUCCCGCUGCCUUCGCCGGGGUCGCAGGGGAGGGUGACGGUGUGGGGGCAGAGGCCGGCGGCGUGGAAGGCGCGGCGUGA
rnacentral:rRNA from 1 species